AAGCGGAGGAGCAUGUGGUUUAAUUCGAUGAUACGCGAGGAACCUUACCUGGGCUCGAACGUAAGAUGACUGUAGGUGAAAGCUUACAUCUCUUCGGAGCAUUUUACGAGGUGCUGCAUGGUUGUCGUCAGCUCGUGCCGUGAGGUGUCGGGUUAAGUCCCAUAACGAGCGCAACCCCUACCUUAGUUGCCAUCAGGUAAUGCUGGGGACUCUAAAGGAACUGCCUACGCAAGUAGUGAGGAAGGCGGGGAUGACGUCAAAUCAGCACGGCCCUUACGUCCAGGGCUACACACGUGCUACAAUGGCCGAUACAGAGGGCAGCUACCUGGUGACAGGAUGCAAAUCUCCAAAGUCGGUCUCAGUUCGGAUCGGAGUCUGCAACCCGACUCCGUGAAGUUGGAUUCGCUAGUAAUCGUGGAUCAGCAUGCCACGGUGAAUACGUUCCCGGGCCUU
rnacentral:rRNA from 1 species